ACUUGUAUGCUAGCUCAGGUAG
rnacentral:miRNA from 2 species